AGGACGACGUUUUUUUCCUACACUUCGGAUAGGUUAAGAAACUGCUAUGAAAAAAAUUUUUUCGCGACAAGGCAAGGAAGAAGGCAAAGGUUGUCAAAAUCUUUCUACGGUGUUUUGAACUGGUGAAGGAAAAAAAACAUUCAGUCCUUCCUCUGUAACACAUGGAUUUCGAAAUACCGCCACCGAUACAAAACAACUGCAGUAAGACAGCAAGAAAAAUUCUCGAAGAACCUGUAGAAGAUCUGUAUACGGAACCAGCUAUUAAAGUACAUCAAUGGCAAGAACUUCUAGAAGAUUCGCCAAUUUUCUAUCAAGUAAUAGCACUUAAGGAUUCAUAUUAUGUUUGGGUUGGAACCGAAGAAGGACGAUUGGAUGCAUUGGACAUCUCUAUUCCCUUAUCUUCAUCGAACACCAUACCUACAGCUACGUCGCUGAUUGGAAACCCCCUAGAUGACCAAGGCUACUCACUUGCUCAAAAGCUAGCUAAAAAGACAAAAAAGGCCUUUCUGAUCAGCUACAACGUUCCUAAAGCCACUCCAAGACUGAGCCAACUCAUAGAGCAGACCCUACGAGCGAAACUUAAUAGCGAGAUUUAAAGUGGCAAAGACAUCGAUGGAUAAAGUGAUUUUGAAGCAGUUCAAAGAAGGACCGACGC